rnacentral:rRNA from 1 species
ACCAGCAGCCGUAUCACCCUGACACUCCCAGCUGGCAGCCCCACUGCAGCUCAGCAGGUGUGAGCCUGGCCAGUACCUGGAUGGGAGACCUUCUGGAAAAACUAAGGUUGCUGCUGCAA